AGAAGAUAAUAGGCUUCAUGUUGAGCUCAAGCUCAAGCGUAGUCAGGAUGAGCUCAAGUCAACUCAUCACAUUCACAGUUUCACACAAAAUGUAGAUUCAUGACCCAACCAAUUGCACUACAUGCAGCAGCCACAAUAGCAAUCCACAUUGGCAAAACAGCCACUAUUCAGGGUGCCCUCGCCAGGAUUAGUGCCUCAGCCUGGUGCUAUUUUGGGCUGAAUUUAGACUCUUGAAUAUAGCUCUAAGUCUCCACAUUUUAACUAUAUCCUACAUUUGAAAAUGAACUUUACAUACUCCACUUGUGCUUAUCAUGAUUCCUAAUAUGCUGCCAACAAAAAUCAAAGUAAACAUAAGACCCCCUAACAAAG
rnacentral:misc_RNA from 1 species